ACUCAAAUGAAUUGACGGGGGCUCACACAAGCGGUGGAGCAUGUUGCUUAAUUCGAAGCAACGCGAAGAACCUUACCUGGGCUUGACAUGCAUGGAUUAGUUCCUGGAAACAGGAAUGACGCUCGCAAGAGUGGAACAUGCACAGGUGCUGCAUGGCUGUCGUCAGCUCGUGCUGUGAAGUGUCGGGUUAAGUCCCUUAACGAGCGCAACCCCUGUCGCUAGUUGCCAACGCGUAAUGGCGGGGACUCUAGCGAGACUGCCGGUGUCAAACCGGAGGAAGGUGGGGAUGACGUCAAGUCCUCAUGGCCCUUACGCCCAGGGUUGCAAACGUGCUACAAUGGCAUGGACAAAGCGAUGCGAGGCCGCGAGGCGGAGCAAAUCGCAAAAAACAUGCCCCAGUUCGGAUUGCAGUCUGCAACUCGACUGCAUGAAGUUGGAAUCGCUAGUAAUCGCGGAUCAGCCACGCCGCGGUGAAUACGUUCCUGAGCCUUGUACACACCGCCCGU
rnacentral:rRNA from 1 species